ACCAGACACACCUGGGCAUUUCCAAAGCCCUCCUUCCAGCAGGUGUUUCCUGAACGAGACUCCCUUCUUCAGACCACGCAGAUGCACAGAGAGGCAAUGGCGAUGUCAAAGUGAAUAUGAAUAUGACUCAAGGCGUCACCUCCUCUUGCUGUUCUGUGACUGUCUGGACCUGGGAGGCUUGUGUUCAGCAAAGGCCUGAGCGGUGGUCCGAAAGGACUGUGAUGGGACCCUCAGUGAGUGCGCUGCUGGGAGAGGAGUGGGAGGUGGCCACCUUCUCUCUGUGCCUCUGGACUUCAUUUCUGUGUCGGUGAAAAAGAGGUAUGCAUAAAACAAGAGUCCAAAACGGAAUGAAAUUCAGUUCUCCCAUCCCUCUCAUCACCUGCCUAUUAAUAGUCUCUUGGAACAAGUCACAUUGAGACGUUUAUUCACUGCCUGUGAGAGUGUGUUCAUCUGAAAUAGUUCCUGGGCCAUUUUUCUCAGCUUCUGUGACGCUGGGCAGCCAAGAGAGACACCAUUUCUCAAAGAAAGAUGUGUGCGGCCAGGUUCCACCCGGGUUAGGGUGAAGCCUGGAGUCAAAACACCGAUCAGUUCCUCACAAACUUAGAAAACCAGGAGCAUGAACGCUUCAUCCUCUGGACCCUUCCCCAGGGACACCCUCUUGGCUUCUCCUCAUUGAAGAAACCGCCUACUUUCUCCUCAGGCCUAGGUGUUGUCUAAGCUCUUAUGGGACUCCCUGUGGCCUCUGGAAAAGGCUGCGGUGCUACGGUGUGCCGUGGAGAGACAGAGACAAAGAGAGCAAGGUGCCCUUCUCGGGACCUUCCUUGGUCCUUAGAUCUGAUCCCCUGAAAGCUGUGGAGCUCAGAUGCCAAUGCCCUGGGGUGGGUCCCAGGAGGCGUCCACACCUUCUGUCAGCUGGGUACACAGUCUCCACCCUCCUCGCCUGGGGCAGCUGAAGGGGCUGAUACGACCUUUGUCCCUCCAAGAGGAAGAGCAGGCACCGGAGCACAAAGCUGCCCCUGCAUCCUUCUUCACCAGGAUGAGCUACCGCCCUCUCUGGGCUUCUGUCGAGUGCCCCCUUUCAUCAAAUGUUUGUCAUUAUUUGUGAGAUUGGUGUGCACCUUCUUCUAGAGUAUGAGAGAAGGGAAUGGCAACCCACUCCAGAAUUCUUGCCUGGAGAAUCCCACGGACAGAGGAGCCUGGCGGGCCACAGCCCACGGGGUCGCAAAGAGUCGGACAUGACUGAGCGACUAACACACACCAGAUGAGGGAACAACACACUGAGGGCAGGAGCUGUCCUCUCCAGCUUCCCACACAGAUCCCCAGCCAGUCCCUGGAAUCUGGAGCACAACUAAUAGAUGUUUGCGCAAAGAAUCAGGAGGGCAGAAAUCUGCCGCUUCAUUACCACUUCCUGUUUCCAAUGGUCAAUCAGUUGAAUAACAAUUAAAAGUUCAAUUCUUCCACUUCCUUCCAGGUCAACUUGAGGUGGCAUAGGAGUGACUCCAAGAAAAGUCCAGAACAAGUGAAAUUCUAUUUCUAUAAAGAAGCAGAGAGGGCAGCUCAUCCCAGAUCCCUGAUAUGAUGUGGUUCUUAGGUAGAUGGACCCCAAGAUAAAUUCAUUGUCAAAUAAGAUCAGCAAAAGCAUCAAGAUUAGCCAGCAAAAUAAAAGCUCUGGGACAUUCUGUGAUCAAGAAAUCCACUUAACAACUUUUAAUUUGGCAUUUGCCAAAUGUUGUUUUGUGGAAAUGUAUUUAACAUCCUUCAGAAUCAGGCAAAAGCUGGCCAGCAGAUCUCUAAAUUCCCUUUCAGCUCAAGAAUCCCAUAGUUUUAGAUCUUGAAAAGGCCUGGCAGGAACAAGGAAUUUGAAGUCAGAACAAGCUUGAUUUCAAAUAUUGCAUCUCGUUAACUGAAAAAGCUGGAUGAUGUCAGUGUCUCAGAGCCUCAGUCUUCUCAUCUGUGAAAUGGGGAUGAUAAUAGCGUCUGUAUCAUUAUGCUGCUUUGAGGGUCAAAUUAGGAAACCAAUGUACGCUAAACCAAUUUAUAAACUGGACAUGGCAUAAUUAUAUUAGCUAUUACUAGUAUAAUAACAAAACAAAAUUAGAAUUUGAACCCAAAAAAUCUUUUAUCUCCUAGUCAUUUGCUAGGAACUGGUUUCCCACAGCCCUGCCUACUCUAUAGAUACAUUUUUAAAUAAGGCAAAUCCCUUGACUUCUUUAUCUUUCUUUUUCAGAUCGAUACUUUCAGUGUCAUUUCAAUUGAGUAUUUGGGCUGGGAAAGGAAACACAUUAAAAACAGACAAAUGAUUUGUUCUAUGCUGUGAGCCUCUGGUUGAAUGAGUUUGGGGCUUUUCAUUCAAUGCCAGAGGCUGGUGGUCAAGUUAAAAACAGUGCAAGACAAGGGAGACUCUGAUGGAGAAGAAAUUCAUUGCAGAGAGCCAAAUUCCACUACAGCAAAUCCAAUACUGACAGUUCUAAGACACAGUUCUUCAGGGGUAAAAAAAUUGUCCUGCCUUCCUGAACAUCUCUUCCCAGUUAGAAAGAAUGUUGCUUUUUCACACCUCAUGCUGGUACUUGGUGAAAUAUACAGUUACGCCAUGAAAAUAAUCACAUCCCAAAUCCUUCCACCUUGUUUAUUUUCCUUCUUUACUCAAACCAUGACUUUUGGCCAAUUUAAAAUAGUACCUUCAAUGUGUACCCUGUUUUUAGUUUUUUUUUUAAUUGUUUCUUUAAUGAUACAGUGAAGCUGAAGAUCCAAUAUCGAGUCUGCAC
ensembl:lncRNA